AAUUUGUGAUGUGGACAUAUAUUCAUCAUAUCCUUGAACCUCUCCCAACAAGCUUGGAAGGUCUCCUCACCUUUCUGCAUGAAGUGACUAAUAUGCUCUUACAGGUAU